UUUUGUUGCAAAGCUUUAACCCUAGACUUGUUCUUGGGAACCAACAAUAACAUUGAGUUCAGACCAAAUGGUCAAAGGAGGAGUGGGAAGAGAACAGAGAUAUCCUCCCUCCAUUUUCUUUAGGGGAAAACCGUGGUUUGGCUACAACAAUCAGAUUGGCUAUCCUAUGCAUUGUGAUGCCAAAAGCUUCGGCCAAGUCCAAAUCUUUAGCUGUAGUACCAGCGGGAAGCUCCCAAUCAAAGCUAUGCAGAAGUUGUGCUAGAGCAAGCUCAAUGCUGGCUGUGCUAAAUGUAAUCGCUGGACAACCUCUUCUACCAGCCCCAAAAGGGAGAAGUACUGGUGCUGCUGGAUGCAACCUAUAUAUCUCUUUGAUGACAGCUUUCAUGUAGUCCAGCUGAUGCAGAUCACUCUCCAAUACGACUCUUCUUUCCCCAACAACACCUCGUACUUCAGCUUGUGCUUUUU